AGAGUUUGAUCAUGGCUCAGAGCGAACGCUGGCGGCAGGCCUAACACAUGCAAAGUCGAGCGCCGUAGCAAUACGGAGCGGCAGACGGGUGAGUAACGCGUGGGAACGUGCCCUUCGGUUCGGAAUAACUCAGGGAAACUUGAGCUAAUACCGGAUACGUCCGAGAGGAGAAAGAUUUAUCGCCGAAGGAUCGGCCCGCGUAAGAUUAGCUAGUUGGUGAGGUAAUGGCUCACCAAGGCUCUGAUCUUUAGCUGGUCUGAGAGGACGAUCAGCCACACUGGGACUGAGACACGGCCCAGACUCCUACGGGAGGCAGCAGUGGGGAAUAUUGGACAAUGGGCGCAAGCCUGAUCCAGCCAUGCCGCGUGAGUGAUGAAGGCCUUAGGGUUGUAAAGCUCUUUUGGCAGGGACGAUAAUGACUGUACCUGCAGAAUAAGCCCCGGCCAACUUCGUGCCAGCAGCCGCGGUAAUACGAAGGGGGCUAGCGUUGCUCGGAAUCACUGGGCGUAAAGCGCACGUAGGCGGGUCGUUAAGUCGGGGGUGAAAUCCUGGAGCUCAACUCCAGAACUGCCUUCGAUACUGGCGAUCUUGGAGUCCGGGAGAGGUGGGUGGAACUGCGAGUGUAGAGGUGAAAUUCGUAGAUAUUCGCAAGAACACCAGUGGCGAAGGCGGCUCACUGGCCCGGUACUGACGCUGAGGUGCGAAAGCGUGGGGAGCAAACAGGAUUAGAUACCCUAGUAGUCC
rnacentral:rRNA from 1 species